GGACAGUGUCUGGUGGGUAGUUUGACUGGGGCGGUCUCCUCCUAAAGAGUAACGGAGGAGCACGAAGGUUGGCUAAUCCUGGUCGGACAUCAGGAGGUUAGUGCAAUGGCAUAAGCCAGCUUGACUGCGAGCGUGACGGCGCGAGCAGGUGCGAAAGCAGGUCAUAGUGAUCCGGUGGUUCUGAAUGGAAGGGCCAUCGCUCAACGGAUAAAAGGUACUCCGGGGAUAACAGGCUGAUACCGCCCAAGAGUUCAUAUCGACGGCGGUGUUUGGCACCUCGAUGUCGGCUCAUCACAUCCUGGGGCUGAAGUAGGUCCCAAGGGUAUGGCUGUUCGCCAUUUAAAGUGGUACGCGAGCUGGGUUUAGAACGUCGUGAGACAGUUCGGUCCCUAUCUGCCGUGGGCGCUGGAGAACUGAGGGGGGCUGCUCCUAGUACGAGAGGACCGGAGUGGACGCAUCACUGGUGUUCGGGUUGUCAUGCCAAUGGCACUGCCCGGUAGCUAAAUGCGGAAGAGAUAAGUGCUGAAAGCAUCUAAGCACGAAACUUGCCCCGAGAUGAGUUCUCCCUGACCCUUUAAGGGUCCUGAAGGAACGUUGAAGACGACGACGUUGAUAGGCCGGGUGUGUAAGCGCAGCGAUGCGUUGAGCUAACCGGUACUAAUGAACCGUGAGGCUUAACCUUACAACGCCGAAGGUGUUU
rnacentral:rRNA from 1 species